GUAGCCGAGGGAGGGCUUCGUUAUAAAUCGAUCGGCGAAGCAAGCCUAGCUACACUCUCCGGCUACCACCUCCUAUAUGGAAACCACUUAUACAGAAACAUCGAAUUCUUUAUUAUUAUUAUAUGUAGUAAUCUCUCCAUUGGAGCUCAUCGUCGACCGACCUCUCCCUUGUGGGAGUUCCUCACUGACACCUUCUUAACAGUAGCCCGUCGAUCAACUAUAUCUCAAGUGGAAAAUACAACAUAUUUCACCUCCGAUCUACUAGCUCGCCUCUUGUUGGGCUAAUGUAAUGAUGCUGCCCCGAUGUUAGUGCCCUUUCUCCCAUUCGUGCCCUUCCGUGUCUUCGUCUUCCUCGCUCGUCUUAUUCUUCUACUUUGUCACCUUUACU
rnacentral:lncRNA from 1 species